ensembl:lincRNA
GCGCGCGUGGCCGCCGGCUUUGGCCGGGCUGUGCUCCCGCGUCCCGCGUUGGCAGCUUAGAGUGGGGCGCGGGUCGGUGUGCUGAGGUCCCUAGCCUGCUGUGACACUCUCUCAGGAGGUGCCGCACUUCCACCAGCCGGCAGGACUGGAGUGGGGCGCAUGUGUAAAUCGGCAGCAGCGACCGCGGGCCGUGUCCUGAGGGCGGGGAGCGCGGGCCUCCGCGUGAGGCGCCGCGGGGUGAGGCCACGUGCGCGAGUUCCCGGGUCCCUCACUGGGGAACCGGGCUGGCCGCGCCCUGCGUCCUUUCCAGAAGGGGCUUUUACCCAGAUGCUGGCUCAGUGCUGCCCUGCAGUGGCCAAUGGUGGGAAUGGCUACUUGGAUUGGCCUCUUCAAACUGGAGUGCUUCAGGGCUGCCACGUGAGUUCUGCAGUCAGGGCAGUCCUGCUGCUUCCCCAAGGGCUCCUGUGAGGUUGAGAAAUGUCACCCCUUCCACGUGGGCACUUUUCCUGAGGGCAGCCAGUUCUACCGGCCACUCUGACUGCCGACCCUGUGACAUGGUGAGAUUUGGCUCAGUCCCCAUCUCCUCCAGGAAGUCUGCCGAGAUGGACCCCAAGAGCCUUCUCAUCAUGGCCUCAUUUUUAAAAUGACUAAUUUCUAAUUUUUCUAGUUUCCUCCUCCCCCCUGUCUUCCCAGGCCUGCACAGAGUCUGCACAUUUCAUAGUAUACAAGGUACUGUCGUGUUCAUCUUGCCACUGAUGACAUCGUGGUUGUGGGCUGGCACUUGGAGCCAGGAUUCCUGGGUUGGAAUCCUGGCUCCACGUCUGGCCGGCUGUGUAGCUUUGGGUAAGUUGCUCGACUCCUCGGAGCCUCAGUUUUCUAUUCUGCCUCUUGUAGUAUUACCGCGAUAAUUGGGUGAGGCAGUGCAGGUGAAGGCCAGGUGCCUGUACUGAGCAAGUGCCCAAUAGACAACAGCAGAUGGGGAAACUGAGACUCAGGAAGGGGAGGAAAUCAAAUGUCAGGCACUUGCCAAGGUGCAGGGCCCCAGACAUACAGCAUCUCAUUUUAUUCCCCCAGUGGAAAGGUAGGCACUUUGCAUCCAUUUUGCAGGUGAGGGGACUGGGACUCAGUUUACACUGGUCUGUAGGACCAGGAAGAAUGGGUGUUGGGUGUUGUCCUCCAGAGUCUGAUACAGAGUCUGGGAUUCCUUUCUGCCUGUCUUGGGAAGGAAGGGUAGGAAGAUGUGGGUCUUUGGGGGCCCCUUGGGCAUGGACCUAGGAGGCCAGAAAUAAACACUUAUUUUUCUUUCCAAUUUGCCCCAGACCCAAGGAGGGCUUUCAAGGGAAUAAAAAUUUCAGUGGGGAAAGUUGGGCUCUCAUUUGGGGAUCCCCUAGAGUCUCUGAUGACAGGUGGCCCUUUAUCAUUAAAUGGACUUGCAGAAAAGCACAGGGGUGAGCAGCAGGGGGUGCUCUGACAUCAGCAGAGAGAUGUGCUUCCCUGGGCAAAGCUCAGCCUGGAUUAGGUGAGUGACAGCAGGCAUGCCCACUCGUCCACUCAGGGAACUUUCACCUGAUAGCUGAGAGGGGUCUUCUGAAAUCAGGGUCGCUAUGGGCAUUAUGAGCCCUGGCUUUGGAGAUUGUGGACUUGGAUUUGAAAAGUCACCCAGCUCUUUCUAAUUUUGUGACCCUGAGCAAGUCCCUUAACCUCUUGGAGCCUCAGUGGCCUCACUGAGCAAAAAAUAAUAUUCAUCUCAUGGGGCUGUCAGGAGGAUUAAUGUGAUGACACAUGCAGAUUUCUUAGCAUAGUGCCUGGCACCUAUAAGCACUCAGUUAAUGACAGCUGUUAUUGUUGUUAAGUGUCAUGUCGUUAAGGGUAGUCCCAUAGAAGUGAGGCUUCUGGGAUGUAUCUAGAUCCUCUGCUAUGGCCUUCAAGGGGUUUACCUUCUGCCCAAGCAUACUGCCUAUACCCCAAGGGCCUUGCUUAUAGCUGUGAACCCCAAGAUUCCUAUCUGGGCCAAAAUGUUCACUAGAGGUCGGUGGGGAAAAGGAGGGCAGUGUGGUCUCUGCUCUGCUAUGAACUUGCUGUGUGGCCUGGCAUAAGUCCCUUGCCCUCUCUGGGCCUUGAUUUAGAUCUAGAGGGUCUGCAUGAUAAGCAUCGAGAUCCUGUGUAGUCUGGCAUCAGCACCCUGGGAGUAUGUCUUCAUCCCAGAAACAUACUACGUUCGUUUUAACAGGGUUCUUUGCUGUUUGAACCCAAAAGUGUGGUUUGAGGACGAGAAUGGGUAGGCUCCUAGCUAAGUCCUAUCGAGGGGACAGCCACAUUUUAUCCUUCCCAGGUCCAGGGGCCCCACAUGCUCUCCUUGUCACCCCUGUGUGGCCUGCUAAUAGAAAAGGGUCUGAUGGAGUAGUUUUCCUCAAGCCAUGAACGACUGUAGGGCUGGUGCUGUCCAUUCUGAGGGGUGUUGAACCUGGGCAGGAGUAGAGUUUUUAUCUGGAGAAAUGAAGCACUAUUUAUGGAAUGCCAUCAAGAGACUUUGAAGCUGGAAGGUUGCCUCUAUUCAAGUCAUGGCAGCCUCAUUCCCUGGCCUUGCUCAGGGAGGUGGGACAGGUGGGACAACUGGUUCAACAGACCAUGGCACACAGCAGCAAAGGAGAUGGGCACACUGGACGUCAUCAAAAUUACAAACUUUUGUGCUUCAAAGGCCAUUAUCAAGAAAGUGAAAGAUUCACCCACCAAAUAGGAGAAAAUAUUUGCAAGUCAUGUAUCUUAUAAGGAACUUGUAUCCAGAAUAUAUAAAGAACUCUUACAACUCAACCAUAAAAAGAGAACCUAGUAUAAAAAUGAACAAAUUAUCUGAAUAGACGUUUCUCCAAAGAAAAUAUACAAGUAGUUCACAAUACAUGAAAAGAGCUUGACAUCAUUAGUCAUUAGGGAAAUGCAAAUCAAAGCCACAGUGACAUACCACUUCACCCCCACUAGGAUGGCUAUUAUGAAAAAGACAGAUAAUAACAAGUGUUGUCGAGGAUAUGGGGAAAUUGGUGCCCUUGUAGGGUGGGAUUGCAGCCAGUUUCGAAAAACAGUUUGGCAGUUACUCAAGAAGUUAAAGAAAGAGUUUACCAUAUGACCCAACAAUUCCAUUCCUAGGUGUAUGCUCAAGAGAUUUAAAAACAUUUGUCAUAAAACAAUAACAACAACAACAAAAAACAUGCGUUUAAACAAAAAAUUAACAUUUGUUCAUAGCAGCAUUAUUCAUGACAGCUAAAAAGAAGAAGAAACAAUUCAACUGUUCAUCAACCGGCGGACUGAUAAUUGUGGUAUAUCUAUACGGUAAUAGAAAUGAAUGAGUUGGACCAUAAAAAGGAAUGAUCUGCUGAUACAUGCUACAAUGUAAAUGAGCAAGAUGGACCUUGAAAACAUUAUGCUAAGUGAAAAAUCCAGAUACUAACAGCCACAAAUUGUAUGAUUCUAUUUAUAUAAAAUGUCCAGAAUAGACAUAUCCAUAGAGAUGGACAUAGAUUAGUGGUUGCUAGGGUUUUGAGAGAGGGGCCAGAGGAUGCCUACUAAUAGGUACAGAGUUUCUUUUUAGGGUGAUGAAGAUGUUUUGCAUUUAGAUAGUGGUGAUGAUUGCUCAUUUUGUGAAUAUACUAAAAACCACUGCGUUGUACACUUUAAAAGGGUGAGUUUUAUGCUAUGUAAAUGAUAUUGCAAUUAAAAAAAGUUUACGGAAAGAAUGGUGGGGUCCUUGAAAGCUUCCAUGAAUAAUAAACACCCCAUCCCCAUGCCCCACCACCCCGACCCUAGUAUAUGUGG